AGUGAACGCUGGCGGUAGGCCUAACACAUGCAAGUCGGACGGCAGCACAGUAAGAGCUUGCUCUUACGGGUGGCGAGUGGCGGACGGGUGAGGAAUACAUCGGAAUCUACUUUUUCGUGGGGGAUAACGUAGGGAAACUUACGCUAAUACCGCAUACGACCUACGGGUGAAAGCAGGGGAUCUUCGGACCUUGCGCGAUUGAAUGAGCCGAUGUCGGAUUAGCUAGUUGGCGGGGUAAAGGCCCACCAAGGCGACGAUCCGUAGCUGGUCUGAGAGGAAGAUCAGCCACACUGGAACUGAGACACGGUCCAGACUCCUACGGGAGGCAGCAGUGGGGAAUAUUGGACAAUGGGCGCAAGCCUGAUCCAGCCAUACCGCGUGGGUGAAGAAGGCCUUCGGGUUGUAAAGCCCUUUUGUUGGGAAAGAAAAGCAGCAGGUUAAUACCCCGCUGUUCUGACGGUACCCAAAGAAUAAGCACCGGCUAACUUCGUG
rnacentral:rRNA from 1 species